rnacentral:rRNA from 1 species
GUCCCAGUUCGGACUGUAGUCUGCAACCCGACUACACGAAGCUGGAAUCGCUAGUAAUCGCGGAUCAGAAUGCCGCGGUGAAUACGUUCCCGGGUCUUGUACACACCGCCCGUCACACCAUGGGAGUCAGUAACGCCCGAAGUCAGUGACCUAACCGAAAGGGAGGAGCUGCCGAAGGCGGGACGGAUGACUGGGGUGAAGUCGUAACAAGGUAUC